rnacentral:miRNA from 1 species
CUACCAAGCGUACCAAUACCG